rnacentral:rRNA from 1 species
GGAUACCACUUGGAAACAGGUGCUAAUACCGGAUAACAACAAUAGCUGCAUGGCUAUUGCUUAAAAGGCGGCGAAAGCUGUCGCUAAAGGAUGGACCCGCGGUGCAUUAGCUAGUUGGUAAGGUAAUGGCUUACCAAGGCGACGAUGCAUAGCCGAGUUGAGAGACUGAUCGGCCACAUUGGGACUGAGACACGGCCCAAACUCCUACGGGAGGCAGCAAUAGGGAAUCUUCCACAAUGGGCGAAAGCCUGAUGGAGCAACGCCGCGUGAGUGAAGAAGGUUUUCGGAUCGUAAAGCUCUGUUGUUGGUGAAGAAGGAUAGAGGUAGUAACUGGCCCCUAUUUGACGGUAAUCAACCAGAAAGUCACGGCUAACUACGUGCCAGCAGCCGCGGUAAUACGUAGGUGGCAAGCGUUGUCCGGAUUUAUUGGGCGUAAAGCGAGCGCAGGCGGAAAGAUAAGUCUGAUGUGAAAGCCCCCGGCUUAACCGAGGAAUUGCAUCGGAAACUGUGUUUCUUGAGUGCAGAAGAGGAGAGUGGAACUCCAUGUGUAGCGGUGGAAUGCGUAGAUAUAUGGAAGAACACCAGUGGCGAAGGCGGCUUACUGGACUGUAACUGACGUUGAGGCUCGAAAGCGUGGGGAGCAAACAGGAUUAGAUACCCUGGUAGUCCACGCCGUAAACG